rnacentral:rRNA from 1 species
UACAGAGGGGGCAAGCGUUGUUCGGAAUUACUGGGCGUAAAGGGCGCGUAGGCGGCCUUCUAAGUCGAACGUGAAAUCCCUGGGCUCAACCCAGGAACUGCGUCCGAUACUGGAAGGCUUGAAUCCGGGAGAGGGAUGCGGAAUUCCAGGUGUAGCGGUGAAAUGCGUAGAUAUCUGGAGGAACACCGGUGGCGAAGGCGGAUCUCUGGGCCUUACCUGACGCUGAGGCGCGAAAGCUAGGGGAGCGAACAGG